rnacentral:misc_RNA from 1 species
AAAAAAAUCAAUAAAAUUGAAUUCUUGUAAAUUCUAGAUUCCAACAGGGGUUAAAGAUUCUCUAAAGCUAAUGUAACAAUUCCUCAAUCCUCUCUCCAUAAACCCUAAAGAAGUGUUUAUUCUCCCGCCCACAUGGUGCACAUAAUGUGAGCUCAGUGACAUGCGAAUUAGCAUCCUGCUUCCAGAGUAGGAAUCCUGAGGAUCAUUCCUGCCAUGUAGCUUGAAGAAGCAUAAUUGAGCUAAAUAAACCAUCUAAAUGCAGACUGGAGUUAGUGAGGCAACUAGUU